rnacentral:rRNA from 1 species
ACGUAGGGCGCAAGCGUUGUCCGGAAUUAUUGGGCGUAAAGAGCUCGUAGGCGGUUUGUCGCGUCUGCUGUGAAAGCCCGGGGCUCAACCCCGGGUCUGCAGUGGGUACGGGCAGACUAGAGUGCAGUAGGGGAGACUGGAAUUCCUGGUGUAGCGGUGAAAUGCGCAGGAUACAGGAGGAACACCGAUGGCGAAGAGGUCAGCUGGUCGUGUUACUGACGCUGAGGAGCGAAAGCAUGGGGAGCGAACAGGAUUAGAUACCCC